AUUCCCGGAGCUGAUGGUGCAGCAGGACUGCAGACAUGAAAUCAGUAAGACUAGUGCCUGUUGAAAUAAGGGAGAGGAAGAGAAUAUGGAUGUGAAUUACAAGUAAUUUCUGCUAGGGGACUUCCCGGGAAGUGAGGGUCAAGAUGAGAUUUGAAAGCUGAAUAGGGAAAUGUUGCCCCAACACACAAGACCUCAGUCCUGGCAAAGCAAGCCCCAAUGCCCCAAUCAAUGAGCUUCAGUCAGGCUAUUGACUUGGCACCAACUUGUGUGCAGUGGCCAAGCUGGAUGCUGUCCUGAAUUAUAUCAGUGUGACAAGGCAACGUCUCCUUUAGUGUGACCUUAACAGUGGAUUUGUCCCUCUUUAUCAGAGUAGGCUCCCUGUGUUCCCAAACUCAGGAAACUCCAGGCAUUGGCAGCCCACUUGCGCAUUCUACAUCAGAUCCUGCCUCACUGGGAGUUGUGGCAGAGGAUGGCCAGACAGACACCAUGGACAGACACCAUGGAGAGGGGCAAUGAACAAAGCUUCAUCUUCUACACACAGAACCAUCUCCUCUUCCCAGUAAAUACAGAAGACAAGACAGAGAGGAGCACAGGAAGGAAGAAGAGCCCCUGGGGAAGCAGUCCAGUCUCUGCAGUUUCCCUCACUGGGGCAGAGGGGCCACCCUCCUUUCUUGUUCCCCAGGAGGCUCCUGGCCGACUUUUCAGCCCGAGUGGCCAUGCUCCCAGGCUGUCCUUCCACAGCCACACAGCCCAUCAAGGCAUUCUGCUCAACGAAGACUUUUCCUUCCUCUGAAAGAGACUUUCCUGCUAAACAACUUUUUUCCUUACUACAAUCUGAUUGCAGUAAGCAAGGAUGGCAUAACAUAACCAUCCAAAUAAGUUGAAAACUUUUGCCCACACAAAAACCUGCACACUGAUUCAUAUUUGCCAACACUUGGAAGCAACCAAGAUGUCCUUCAACAGAUGAAUAGAUAAACAAAACGUGGCACAUCCAGACAAUGGAAUAUGAUACAGCAGGAAAAAGAAAUGAGCUCCGGACAUUCUGGAAAGGUAAAACUACAGAGAUCAUAAAAAGAUCAUCUCUUUGAAGUCUGGGUAUUUGGUAAAAACAAAUCAGUGGUUAACAGGGGCUUGGAUGGGGGAGGGAGGGAUGAAUAGGUGGUGCACAGAGGAUUUUUAGGGUAGUGAAAUGAUUCUGUUUGAGAGUGGAAUGGUGGAUACAUGGCAUUAUGCAUUUGUCAAGAUCCAUGGGACUGUAUAUCACAGAGCGAAUCCUAAUGUGAACUAUGGACUUUAGUUAAUAAAAGUGUUCCUGUAUUGGUGCGUCCGUUUUAGCAGGUACACCCCACUGAUGCCACAUGUUCCUAGUGCUGAGAAGAGACCCUGCUCAGGGUAUGCUCU
rnacentral:lncRNA from 10 species